CUUGCUCUUCUUGGAUGAGUUGCGAACGGGUGAGUAACGCGUAGGUAACCUGCCUUGUAGCGGGGGAUAACUAUUGGAAACGAUAGCUAAUACCGCAUAACAAUGGAUGACACAUGUCAUUUAUUUGAAAGGGGCAAUUGCUCCACUACAAGAUGGACCUGCGUUGUAUUAGCUAGUAGGUGAGGUAAUGGCUCACCUAGGCGACGAUACAUAGCCGACCUGAGAGGGUGAUCGGCCACACUGGGACUGAGACACGGCCCAGACUCCUACGGGAGGCAGCAGUAGGGAAUCUUCGGCAAUGGGGGCAACCCUGACCGAGCAACGCCGCGUGAGUGAAGAAGGUUUUCGGAUCGUAAAGCUCUGUUGUAAGUCAAGAACGGGUGUGAGAGUGGAAAGUUCACACUGUGACGGUAGCUUACCAGAAAGGGACGGCUAACUACGUGCCAGCAGCCGCGGUAAUACGUAGGUCCCGAGCGUUGUCCGGAUUUAUUGGGCGUAAAGCGAGCGCAGGCGGUUUGAUAAGUCUGAAGUUAAAGGCUGUGGCUCAACCAUAGUUCGCUUUGGAAACUGUCAAACUUGAGUGCAGAAGGGGAGAGUGGAAUUCCAUGUGUAGCGGUGAAAUGCGUAGAUAUAUGGAGGAACACCGGUGGCGAAAGCGGCUCUCUGGUCUGUAACUGACGCUGAGGCUCGAAAGCGUGGGGAGCGAACAGGAUUAGAUACCCUGGUAGUCCACGCCGUAAACGAUGAGUGCUAGGUGUUGGAUCCUUUCCGGGAUUCAGUGCCGCAGCUAACGCAUUAAGCACUCCGCCUGGGGAGUACGACCGCAAGGUUGAAACUCAAAGGAAUUGACGGGGGCCCGCACAAGCGGUGGAGCAUGUGGUUUAAUUCGAAGCAACGCGAAGAACCUUACCAGGUCUUGACAUCCCGAUGCUAUUUCUAGAGAUAGAAAGUUACUUCGGUACAUCGGUGACAGGUGGUGCAUGGUUGUCGUCAGCUCGUGUCGUGAGAUGUUGGGUUAAGUCCCGCAACGAGCGCAACCCCUAUUGUUAGUUGCCAUCAUUCAGUUGGGCACUCUAGCGAGACUGCCGGUAAUAAACCGGAGGAAGGUGGGGAUGACGUCAAAUCAUCAUGCCCCUUAUGACCUGGGCUACACACGUGCUACAAUGGUUGGUACAACGAGUUGCGAGUCGGUGACGGCGAGCUAAUCUCUUAAAGCCAAUCUCAGUUCGGAUUGUAGGCUGCAACUCGCCUACAUGAAGUCGGAAUCGCUAGUAAUCGCGGAUCAGCACGCCGCGGUGAAUACGUUCCCGGGCCUUGUACACACCGCCCGUCACACCACGAGAGUUUGUAACACCCGAA
rnacentral:rRNA from 1 species